CCAGGCGCUCGCUACCCAGGCCACCGCGGCUCCCUCGCUCCGCUGGGGCCUCCGGACGGGCUCCCCGCGCGGGUCUCUGGAACGCUCUGGCCGAACGCAAGCCCGCUUGCACUCACACUGCAGUUCACACCCGCAGGCGCGCUCGCACCCACAUUGCCGCUCACGCGCGCUCACACUCCCCCACGCGCGCUCCACUCCCGCUCCAGCCCCGAGCCCCGCAAAGGCGCAGGCACCGCCACCGAGAGCGCCAAGGGGCCCCGCGGCCUUCCCAUGGCGGACCUGAGCUUCAUCGAAGAUACGGUCGCCUUCCCCGAGAAGGAAGAGGAUGAGGAGGAAGAGGAAGAGGGUGUGGAGUGGGGCUACGAGGAAGGUGUUGAGUGGGGUCUGGUGUUUCCUGAUGCAAAUGGGGAAUAUCAGUCUCCUAUUAACCUAAACUCAAGAGAGGCUAGGUAUGACCCCUCACUGCUGGAUGUCCGCCUCUCCCCAAAUUAUGUGGUCUGCCGAGACUGUGAAGUCACCAAUGAUGGACAUACUAUUCAGGUUAUCCUGAAGUCAAAAUCAGUUCUUUCGGGAGGACCAUUGCCUCAAGGGCAUGAAUUUGAACUGUAUGAAGUGAGAUUUCACUGGGGGAGAGAAAACCAGCGUGGUUCUGAGCACACGGUUAAUUUCAAAGCUUUUCCCAUGGAGAUGGGAUCAUCUAGUUGCAGGAAAACAAGCUCAGGCUCCCACUGCUUCUACGUUAUGCUCCAUCUGAUCCACUGGAACUCCACUCUGUUUGGCAGCAUUGAUGAGGCUGUGGGGAAGCCGCACGGGAUCGCCAUCAUUGCUCUGUUUGUUCAGAUAGGAAAGGAACAUGUUGGCUUGAAGGCUGUGACUGAAAUCCUCCAGGAUAUUCAGUAUAAGGGGAAGUCCAAAACAAUACCUUGCUUUAAUCCUAACACUUUAUUACCAGACCCUCUGCUGCGGGACUACUGGGUGUAUGAAGGCUCUCUCACCAUCCCACCUUGUAGUGAAGGUGUCACCUGGAUAUUAUUCCGAUACCCUUUAACUAUAUCCCAGCUACAGAUAGAAGAAUUUCGAAGGCUGAGGACGCAUGUUAAGGGGGCAGAACUUGUAGAAGGCUGUGAUGGGAUUUUGGGAGACAACUUUCGGCCCACUCAGCCUCUUAGUGACAGAGUCAUUAGAGCUGCAUUUCAGUAGCCAAAGAGGACAGGAACAAGUCUAUCUUCAUGAGGGACAUUGCCCAGAGGGAGGUCAUUUAGAUUGUUUCCAGUUUCUUUUUGCAGAGGAAGACAAUGGUCCUAUAGUGCCCUUGGAUGAGAAAAGGAAACUUUUGAGCUGCACCUUCAGUUUAUCCUCAAAGCCUGCGUUGUCUUCAUCUAAUCCAGCUUUGAUGGACGUCUGUGAUGGUUGCCUGUACACUUGCUGAAAUGAAAUAUUAGAAAUGGCUGUAUAUUCCAAAGAAACCCUAUAUUAUAUAUCUACGUUACUGCUGCUAGGAUUCAUAUUUGCACAUACUGUUUAUUGCUUAUGUGUAGAGAGAAUGACACUAGUUUCCAGAGUUGUUAUUAAUCUGAAUAUAUAUCAUGUGUUAAUAUUGAGAAAGGAAAAAUACACUCCCAGUGUUAGUAGUUCUUCAUUUCCUGUCUCCAACAGAAAAUUAACUCAUUUUAAAACUAGUAUAAUUCUUGAUAAUAAAAUAAGAGUUUUGAAUAAGAACAGCAGAGAGCUUCAAAAUGCAAAGUGAAUGAUUAGUAAAAUUAUGUCUCAUUUUAUUUUUUCAGCACCCAUACCACAGUUAACGUUAGGUUGGAUUGCCAUGGGAAACAUUUUUUUUUUGGUGUUAAUGCAGCAACAUAAUAUUCACUUUAUGUAUUACUACAUAGUUAAAGGAUUUAACUGAAUGUAUGAAUCAAAUUAUAUUUAUUUGACCUAUUCGAAGCUGUGGUUUAUAGGAAUUUGAGAAAGGUAUAAGAAAUAGGAUAAAAAGAAGGUCACCACCAUGUACCAGGAAUAGCUUUACUUUCCAUAAACAGAAAUAUAAAUUUAAUGGUAUCCUAUAUUACUUUAGUGUUGUAUACUUUGUAAGACUUAAAAAUAUUUUAUUCUAUUGAUUCCACUUCUUUGGUAUGUUAAGACAUUUCUUUAAAGAUGACCAACAAUAUCCUUAUUUUAGGUGCUACUAGCAAAUGUAAACAUAUACUUAGUUGCAGUUAGAUGUGACAGAAUGAGAUAAUUUAUGUAAAGUAGUAGAGUGCCUGGCACAAAGCAAACCAUAAAUUAUUGUUGUUAUAAUUGU